rnacentral:rRNA from 1 species
GGCCCCCUGGACAUAGAACUGACGUCUCAGGUNGCNGAAAGCGUNGGGGAGCAAACNAGGAUUAGNANUACCCUGGUAGUCCACGCCGUAAACGAUGUCGANCUUGGANGGUUGUGCCCUGGAGGCGUGGCCUCCCGGAAGCUAACGCGGUAAGUCGACCGCCCUGGGGAGUACGGCCGCAAAGGUUAAAACUCAAAAUGAAUUGACGGGGGCCCGCACAAGCGGUGGAGCAUGUGGUUUAAUUCGACGCAACGCGAAGAAACCUUACCUACUCUUGACAUCCAGAGAAGACUGCAGAGAUGCGGUUGUGCCUUCGGGAACUCUGAGACAGGUGCUGCAUGGCUGUCGUCAGCUCGUGUUGUGAAAUGUUGGGUUAAGUCCCGCAACGAGCGCAACCCUUAUCCUUUGUUGCCAGCGGUCCGGCCGGGAACUCAAAGGAGACUGCCAGUGAUAAACUGGAGGAAGGUGGGGAUGACGUCAAGUCAUCAUGGCCCUUACGAGUAGGGCUACACACGUGCUACAAUGGCGCAUACAAAGAGAAGCGACCUCGCGAGAGCAAGCGGACCUCAUAAAGUGCGUCGUAGUCCGGAUUGGAGUCUGCAACUCGACUCCAUGAAGUCGGAAUCGCUAGUAAUCGUAGAUCAGAAUGCUACGGUGAAUACGUUCCCGGGCCUUGUACACACCGCCCGUCACACCAUGGGAGUGGGUUGCAAAAGAAGUAGGUAGCUUAACCUUCGGGAGGGCGCUUACCACUUUGUGAUUCAUGACUGGGGUGA